UACGUAGGGUGCGAGCGUUGCCCGGAUUUAUUGGGCGUAAAGGGCGCGUAGGCGGCGUUUUAAGUCGGGGGUGAAAGCCUGUGGCUCAACCACAGAAUGGCCUUCGAUACUGGGACGCUUGAGUAUGGUAGAGGUUGGUGGAACUGCGAGUGUAGAGGUGAAAUUCGUAGAUAUUCGCAAGAACACCGGUGGCGAAGGCGGCCAACUGGACCAUUACUGACGCUGAGGCGCGAAAGCGUGGGGAGCAAACAGG
rnacentral:rRNA from 1 species